UUUUUGCUUUUUUGUAGUAGUGUCCUAUAUAAAACAACAUACAUGAACAUUAUGCAUUGCCACAAAAGUUUUUGUGACACCUAGAGUGCAUUCUCAUAAGAGUUUACAUGACACCUACUGUUAGUGCAUUGCCACAAUUGUUUCCAUGAUACUCAUUGUUAAUGCAUUGUUAGUUUAAAAUAUGAUUAACUACAUUUUACUCUCUUCGGGUUUAUGGUCAUUAUCGAAAUGGGCUCUGGAGUUUUAAUUUCAUCAAUAUGAACCUAACGUUUUUAAAUAUGACUAAAUUACGCACUCUAUCAACUUCACAGUUUUAUUUUCUGUUAAAUUGUUGUCAAAUUAAUCAUGUCAUUGCCAUUUUCUUUAUUAUUUUCUUUACACAUCAACAUAAAAGUGACUAUCCUACAUGCCACGUCACCAAAUUACCAGAAAAUCAAACGAUGAAGUUGACGGAGUGCGUAAGUUGGUCAUAUUUAAAUACAGUGGCGGAUCUAGGAUUCAAAAGUCAAGUAGGCGAAACUUACCUUAAAAACUCGACGGUACGAAUGAAUUUCAUUCAUAAAAAUAAAAAGAUACAUCUAAUCUAGGGGACGUAGUGAGCCUUAUCCUCAAAUAUGCAUUCUAUAAAAAAAUAUAAAAAAAUAAAACUAAAAAAAAAUUAAAUUAAAUGCAAUGCAACACAAAACAAAACUAUUUAAAUCUAAAACUUUACCCUACGAGGGUUAGAAAUCUUAAAUUCCUCAAUUAUCUAAGAUGCAUACAUUUAUUUUAGGAAUAACUCAAUAGAAGAAGAUAAUUAAAGAGAAGAGAAUAAGAAGAAUACUUGUUUACCCUAUUGCACAGUCAAGACUGUUGAGAAGAAGUUGCUGACUGUCUGGAAUUGCACAGCCAAAAGCUAUUUGGCUGCUUAUAAGUUAUAUUCCUCCUUUUUUUUAAAAUUUGACUAGGCCAUUCCAUUACACAAAAGUGUGGGUUGGUUAUAAUUUUUUCCCUUUUUUUAAAAGUUUGAGUGGACUUUAACAUAUGUGGGUUGCUUUUAAGUUUUACACGGGCUGGGUAGGCAUGGGUUUACAUCUUCACAUGUGAUGGAUAAGAAUAACUUUGCUUAUAUAUAGGUU
rnacentral:lncRNA from 1 species